AUGGCAUCACCCCUGAUGCUAUCACAUACAAUUCGGUCCUUAAUGGUCUCUGCAAGUCUGGGAAGGCCAAUGAAGUUAACAUUCAAAGAGAUGACACUUAAAGGAUGUCGCCCAAACACUAUUACCUACAACAUACUGAUAGAGAAUUUCUGCAAGUCCAAUAAAUUGGAAGAGGCCUCUGGGGUGAUAGUGAGGAUGAGUCAAGAAGGACUAGCUCCUGAUGCAGUUAGCUUCAACACACUUAUUCAUGGAUUUUGUAGGAAUGGUGAGAUUGAGGGAGCGUACAUACUUUUUCAAAAAUUGGAGGAAAAGGGGUACUCCACAACAGCUGAUACAUUUAAUAUCCUAAUUAGCGCAUAUUGCAGUCAACUGAACAUGCAAAUGGCUGAAAGUAUUUUUGAGAAGAUGGUCCAGAAGGGAUAUAGACCUGAUUCGUAUACUUAUCGCGUCCUAAUUGAUGGAUCAUGCAAGACUGCAAAUGUUGACCGUGCAUACGAGCAUCUCGUGGAAAUGAUAAAUGGGGGUUUCAUUCCAUCAAUGGCUACUUUUGGCCGUGUAAUAAAUACACUCGCAGUGAACCAUCAGAUUACGGAAGCUGUGGGCGUUAUUCGUGUCAUGGUUAGAAUUGGAGUUGUUCCCGAGGUUGUAGAUACCAUCUUGAGUGCUGAUAAGAAGAAGAUAGCUGCACCAAAGAUACUUGUUGAGGACUUGAUGAAGAAGGGUCACAUUAGUUACCCUACUUAUGAAGUACUGCAUGAAGGAGGGAGAGAUAACAAACUAAAUAGAAAACAGGAACAGAAUAAAUAUAUUUAG
rnacentral:rRNA from 1 species